UACAGAGGGGGCAAGCGUUGUUCGGAAUUAUUGGGCGUAAAGGGCGCGUAGGCGGCUUGACAAGUCAAAGGUGAAAUCCCUCGGCUCAACUGAGGAACUGCCUUUGAAACUGUCUGGCUUGAGGCCGGGAGGGGGUAGCGGAAUUCCCAGUGUAGCGGUGAAAUGCGUAGAUAUUGGGAGGAACACCAGUGGCGAAGGCGGCUACCUGGACCGGUUCUGACGCUGAUGCGCGAAAGCGUGGGUAGCAAACAGG
rnacentral:rRNA from 1 species